CGCGAAUUCGCCCUUCGGGGUGCAGCAGGCGCGAAAACUUUGCAAUACACGAAAGUGUGACAGGGCUAUCCCGAGUGCCAUCCGCUGAGGAAGGCUUUUACCCAGUCUAGAAAGCUGGGGGAAUAAGGAGAGGGCAAGUCUGGUGUCAGCCGCCGCGGUAAUACCAGCUCUCCGAGUGGUGUGGAUGUUUAUUGGGCCUAAAGCAUCCGUAGCUGGCUAAGUUAGUCCCUUGUUAAAUCCACCGAAUUAAUCGUUGGAUCGCGGGGGAUACUGCUUGGCUAGGGGACGAGAGAGGCAGACGGUAUUUUCGGGGUAGGGGUGAAAUCCUAUAAUCCCGGGAAGACCACCAGUGGCGAAGGCUGUCUGCUAGAACGCGCCCGACGGUGAGGGAUGAAAGCUGGGGGAGCGAACCGGAUUAGAUACCCGGGUAGUCCCAGCUGUAAACGAUGCAGGCUAGGUGUUUGGACGGCCACGUGCCGUUCUAGUGCCGCAGGGAAGCUGUUAAGCCUGCCGCCUGGGGAGUACGAUCGCAAGAUUGAAACUUAAAGGAAUUGGCGGGGGAGCAC
rnacentral:rRNA from 1 species